rnacentral:rRNA from 1 species
GGUCAUUUAGAGGAAGUAAAAGUUGUAACAAGGUUUCCGUAGGUGAACCUGCGGAAGGAUCAUUAACAAAUCCGAUAAUGUGGAAGAGGGGAGACCCCCCGAUUUUACAAUAUUAAACCGCCGGGUCGGUCUCUGAGACUGGCUGGCUGGUAUAUCUAUGCGUGUAAUGUUGACAGUGUGUGAGUGAUUUAAUUAUUGACAACUUUUAACAAUGGACCUCUAGGCUCUUGCAGCGAUGAAGAACGCAGCAAAGUGCGAAAAGUGUUGCGAUUUGCACGAAUCUGUGAGUCAUCUAAUUUUUGAACGCGAAUGGCACUGUUACGCAAGUAGCAGUAUGUCUGUUUGAGAAUCGCAAAACAAGAUCAACUCUAGUUGAGAGUUGGGAUUGGCCUCAUGUACCUUUGGGUGUAUUUGGCUUGAAUGCAUCGAGUUGAUGAGCUCCCCAAUGCGGCUCAAUGUGUGCUAGCGAGACAGUCGUCCCGAUCUCACAUUUCCGCCGCGUUGCAGAGUUCUACGCACAACCCGCCAACAUAUAUUUAUCAAAUACGAUCUCAAAUCAGGCAAGAUUACCCGCUGAACUUAAGCAUAUCAAUAAGCGGAGGAA